GUGAAUCAUCGAAUUUUUGAACGCAAAUUGCACUCUCUUUUGAGAGUAUGCCUGUUUGAGGGUCAGUAAUAAUAAAAUCGGGGGGUUGCUCUUUUGUUACACAACGGAGUUUGGGCUACCUUUGACUUUCGGGUUUAAGAGGCUUCAAUUUGAACUUUUUUGCGCACUUCUAGACGUACAUAAAUUUAUUUUUAUCGUCUAGUCGGUUGCCAUUUAUCUAUUAGGUGCGAUCAUGUUUAUAUGAUCUCGUGCCGGUAAUUCUCAUCUGUUGACUUCAAAUCAGGUA
rnacentral:misc_RNA from 1 species